GGAAUAUUGGUCAAUGGCCGAGAGGCUGAACCAGCCAAGUAGCGUGCAGGAUGACUGCCCUAUGGGUUGUAAACUGCUUUUAUGCGGGGAUAAAGUUCAGCACGUGUGCUGUUUUGUAGGUACCGCAUGAAUAAGGACCGGCUAAUUCCGUGCCAGCAGCCGCGGUAAUACGGAAGGUCCGGGCGUUAUCCGGAUUUAUUGGGUUUAAAGGGAGCGCAGGCCGGAGGUCAAGCGUGACGUGAAAUGUAGCCGCUCAACGGCUGAGUUGCGUCGCGAACUGGUUUCCUUGAGUGAGUACGACGUCAGCGGAAUUCGUGGUGUAGCGGUGAAAUGCUUAGAUAUCACGAAGAACUCCGAUUGCGAAGGCAGCCAACAAGGCCUUUACUGACGCUAAUGCUCGAAAGUGCGGGUAGCGAACA
rnacentral:rRNA from 1 species